rnacentral:piRNA from 1 species
AGUUGACCCAACCUCUGCUCCAGGCAAGAC